AUUGAACGCUGGCGGCAUGCCUAACACAUGCAAGUCGAACGGCAGCACAGCAGUAGCAAUACUGUGGGUGGCGAGUGGCGGACGGGUGAGGAAUACGUCGGAAUCUGCCCAGUCGUGGGGGAUAACUAGCCGAAAGGUUAGCUAAUACCGCAUACGGCCGAGAGGUGAAAGCGGGGGGACCGCAAGGCCUCGCGCGAUUGGAUGAGCCGACGUCGGAUUAGCUAGUUGGCGGGGUAAAGGCCCACCAAGGCGACGAUCCGUAGCUGGUCUGAGAGGAUGAUCAGCCACACUGGAACUGAGACACGGCCCAGACUCCUACGGGAGGCAGCAGCAAGGAAUUUUCGGCAAUGGGCGCAAGCCUGACCGAGCAACGCCGCGUGGAGGAUGACGGCCUUCGGUUGUAACGUACCUUUUGUUGGGGGUACGGAGGAAGGACGGUAACCCGUGCGAGAAGACCCGGCGUAACUCUGU
rnacentral:rRNA from 1 species